UUUUUGUUUUAAAUUUAAAGUAAAAUCUGCCCMCUGAAUAUAUUUUAAAGGGCUGCAGUAUAUUGACUGUACAAAGGUAGCAUAAUCAUUAGUUUUUUAAUUGAAAGCUGGUAUGAAUGAUUUCAUGAGAAAAAUGCUUUUUUUAUAAAAAUUUUAAAACUUUAUUUUUAAGUUAAAAAGCUUAAAUUUUUUUAUUAGACGAGAAGACCCUAUAGAGUUUAAAAUUAUUUAUAUAAAUUAAUGAUUUUAGUAAUUUAAAUUAUUAUUUUAAGAUAAUUUUUUAUUGGGGUGAUAGAAAAAUUUAAUUAACUUUUUUUAUUUUAAUUACAUUAAUUAGUGAGUAUUUGAUCCAUUUUUAUAAUGAUUAAAAGAUUAAAUUACCUUAGGGAUAACAGCGUAAUUUUUUUGGAGAGAACUAAUCGAUAAAAAAGAUUGCGACCUCGAUGUUGGAUUAAAAUAAAUUUUUGGUGUAGAAGUUAAAAGUUUAGGUCUGUUCGACCUUUAAAAUUUUACA
rnacentral:rRNA from 1 species